GGGCCCGCACAAGCGGUGGAGUAUGUGGUUUAAUUCGAAGAUACGCGCAGAACCUUACCAACACUUGACAUGUUCGUCGCGACUUUAAGAGAUUAAAGUUUUCGGUUCGGCCGGACGAAACACAGGUGCUGCAUGGCUGUCGUCAGCUCGUGUCGUGAGAUGUUGGGUUAAGUCCCGCAACGAGCGCAACCCUCACUUUUAGUUGCCAUCAUUUAGUUGGGCACUCUGAAAGAACUGCCAGUGAUAAGCUGGAGGAAGGUGGGGAUGACGUCAAGUCCUCAUGGCCCUUACGUGUUGGGCUACACACGUGCUACAAUGGUAUAUACAACAGGAAGCAAAACGGCGACGUUAAGCAAAUCCUCAAAAGAUACCUCAGUUCGGAUUGCACUCUGCAACUCGAGUGCAUGAAGCUGGAAUUACUAG
rnacentral:rRNA from 1 species